AAACCUGCUGCCAUCUCUGCUCUCCACGAGCGAAGUCAGGUAUAAAGGGCACUGAUGUAGCUUCGCAAUCAAGAUCUAGGAAGACAAGGGAUUGGGAUGGUUUGUGGUUUGAGAGAUGUAACAGUAACAGUGCUAAUCAUCACUAGUUGGGUGUCGCACCAGCCCUUCCUGUCCCACUCCUGCAGCAUGAUUUUUGGUCAAAAUCUUAAUUGAGUCCUUCAGGGAUUAAUCACAUUUUCAUUGGAAAGGAAGGAAACAGUAAGAUCCGAAAAGCAUUUGAUAAAUGCUUCAAAUGUUGAAGAACUAGGGAACAAAGUACAAAAAAGAAAAAGGGAAAUGAGCUUUAAUUUGGGAACAAUUUCACACAGAAGAUUGGAAGUAUAUGGAAACAGUCAUCAGUGCAUUCGAUUGGUUUUAAAAGGCUAAGUUAAUACAGGACACUGCUAAUUUUCCCUAAAGAAGGAGGGUAUUACAUUUACUGUUGAUGAAGAGAAGAAAAGUAUAUCAAGUUAAAAUGGGGCUCCUUUGCAUAAUUUUUAUUUUUUAUUUUCUUCUCUCCUGAAUUAAUUCAUAUAAUAUAUAUGCAUUUUAACAUUGUGUUAAAAUCUAGCUUUUUAUCCAUUUAAUGUGAUAUUGUCUGGAUAAUGAAUCUGAAUGGAUCUUUCUAAACAUUUAAAAAAUAAAUCAGUCUGAGAAACUG